GACGAACGCUAGCGGCAGGCUUAACACAUGCAAGUCGAGGGGCAGCAUGAUCUUCGGAUUGAUGGCGACCGGCGCACGGGUGAGUAACACGUAUACAACCUACCCUUUAGAGCGGGAUAGGCUGGAGAAAUCCAGAUUAAUACCGCAUGAGUUCCAGGAGUGGCAUCACUUCGGGAAGAAAACUCCGGUGCUAAAGGAUGGGUAUGCGUCCCAUUAGUUAGUUGGUAAGGUAACGGCUUACCAAGACUUCGAUGGGUAGCUGGUCUGAGAGGAUGAUCAGCCACACUGGCACUGAGACACGGGCCAGACUCCUACGGAGGCAGCAGUGAGGAAUAUUGGUCAAUGGGGGGCAACCCUGAACCAGCCAUGCCGCGUGGAGGAAGACGGCUCUAGUAGUUGUAAACUCCUUUUCUCAAGGG
rnacentral:rRNA from 1 species